AAUGAACGUUGGCGGCGUGGAUUAGGCAUGCGAGUCGUGCGAGAAUCGUAGCAAUACGAGAACAGCGGCGCAAGGGAGAGGAAUAAGUAGAAAUCUACCCUCGGGUCGGGGAUAGCGGCGGGAAACUGCCGGUAAUACCCGAUAACGUCUUUGGACCAAAGGUGUGAUUCCGUCUGAGGAUGAGUCUACUUCCUAUUAGCUAGUUGGCGGGGUAAUGGCCCACCAAGGCAACGAUGGGUAGCAGGUGUGAGAGCAUGACCUGCCUCAUUGGGACUGAGACACUGCCCAGACACCUACGGGUGGCUGCAGUCGAGAAUCUUCGGCAAUGGACGAAAGUCUGACCGAGCGACGCCGCGUGCGGGAUGAAGGCCUUCGGGUUGUAAACCGCUGUCGGAGGGGAACAAGUGUACGGGGGUUCUCCCCUGUAUUUGAGUGAACCUAGGAGGAAGGAGAGGCUAAGCUCGUGCCAGCAGCCGCCGUAA
rnacentral:rRNA from 1 species